GGAGCGAUGCCCGAGUGGACGAAGGGACCCGGCUGGAAACCGGGUAGAGCCCGAAGAGGGUUCUCCGGGGUUCGAAUCCCCGUCGCUCCGCCA
rnacentral:tRNA from 1 species